ensembl:misc_RNA 7SK 7SK RNA
GUUGUGAGGGCGACCUGGCUGCAGCAUUGCUGUUACUCUGUCCAUUGCCAGGGUUGUUUGACUGACCUGGCUGGCUAGGCAAAUGUGCCCUUCCUCACUGUCUCAAC